rnacentral:rRNA from 1 species
AUUGAACGCUGGCGGCAUGCCUUACACAUGCAAGUCGAACGGUAACAGGUCUUCGGAUGCUGACGAGUGGCGAACGGGUGAGUAUACAUCGGAACGUGCCUAGUAGUGGGGGAUAACUACUCGAAAGAGUGGCUAAUACCGCAUGAGAUCUACGGAUGAAAGCAGGGGAUCGCAAGACCUUGUGCUACUAGAGCGGCCGAAGGCAGAUUAGGUAGUUGGUGGGAUAAAAGCUUACCAAGCCGACGAUCUGUAGCUGGUCUGAGAGGACGAUCAGCCACACUGGGACUGAGACACGGCCCAGACUCCUACGGGAGGCAGCAGUGGGGAAUUUUGGACAAUGGGCGAAAGCCUGAUCCAGCAAUGCCGCGUGCAGGAUGAAGGCCUUCGGGUUGUAAACUGCUUUUGUACGGAACGAAAAGUCCCGGGUUAAUACCCUGGGGUCAUGACGGUACCGUAAGAAUAAGCACCGGCUAACUACGUGCCAGCCGCCGCGGUAA